rnacentral:rRNA from 1 species
AGAGUUUGAUCCUGGCUCAGGAUGAACGCUAGCGGCAGGCCUAAUACAUGCAAGUCGAACGGUAAAUAUGCAGCAAUGUAUAUGAGAGUGACGUACGGGUGCGUAACACGUAUGCAACCUACCCUUUACAGGCGGAUAGCUCGGGGAAACUCGGAUUAACCCGUCAUAAUAUAAUUGAAUGGCAUCAUUUGGUUAUUAAAUCUACGGAGGUAAAGGAUGGGCAUGCGUCUGAUUAGUUAGUUGGCGGUGUAACGGACCACCAAGACGAUGAUCAGUAGGGGAACUGAGAGGUUGAUCCCCCACACUGGCACUGAGAUACGGGCCAGACUCCUACGGGAGGCAGCAGUAGGGAAUAUUGGUCAAUGGAUGGAAGUCUGAACCAGCCAUGCCGCGUGCAGGAAGAAGGCCUUCAGGGUUGUAAACUGCUUUUGCCAGGGGCUAAAAAGCCCAUGCGUGGGAAAUUGAAAGUACCUGGUGAAUAAGCCACGGCUAACUACGUGCCAGCAGCCGCGGUAAUACGUAGGUGGCAAGCGUUGUCCGGAUUUAUUGGGUUUAAAGGGUGCGUAGGCGGCUUUGUAAGUCAGUGGUGAAAUAUGGCAGCUCAACUGUCAAGGUGCCAUUGAUACUGCGGAGCUUGAGUACAGAUGAGGUAGGCGGAAUUGACGGUGUAGCGGUGAAAUGCUUAGAUAUCGUCAAGAACACCUAUAGCGAAAGCAGCUUACUAGGCUGUAACUGACGCUGAGGCACGA